UGAAUGCUGAUUCAUGCCUGGCAUAGUGCUGCCGCUUUAAAAUGUUCAAUAAAGUUUAUCUAUGUAAAGCGAAGUGAAACUUUUAGGAACUGCUGAUCAAGCUAGUUUGGAAAGCAAAUACAAGGUUUAUAGGAGAGCCGGGAGCCCCACUGCAUUCUAAACCUUUAGCUUGACGCUGAAUUCAAUCCAAGGUUUUGUUUCUUAGCCUCCAGAAAGAUUCACUGACAUUCUUAAUAUAGGCUUUUAACGACCUGUCUCCUGAUUUAUUAUUUGACAGUACAUUUCUAGGUGGUAGAGUUCUGUGACGGUUCUGAAUUCUUAAGCUUGGAAUUUCAAUAAAGAUUACAGAUUGCGUAUGGUUUCCCUGGUACACACUGAAACAUGAUCUGAGUCUCCGGCAGGCUGAUGAUCCUGAAGAGUGAUCUGCUUCAUUUGAUGCAGUUGUUCCUGACCCAUCAGAACCAGGACACAAGCCCUGAGUCACCUUUCACUAGUGUGGAUGGAUUUGGGCUGAUCCAUCUGCAAUCUACACCAAGUCACCUGGAGAGCCAACAGAAGGCGCAAACAGGAAGGCUGUAGAAGAGAAGGACUGAUACUUCAAGGAAUCUGGGAAAGAUCUAAGACUUACAGUCUGAACCAUACAUUUCCUCUCAGUGACACUUUACCUGAAAAAACUGGUCACGCUCUCAAAAUGUGCUUUACAAUUUUAGUCUUUAAAAAAUCAUGAGUAAUAGGGACAACAAAGUCUUGGUUUUCAUUGGCUGUUAGCAAGUUUAAAGUAAAAUGUAUAACCAGC